CAUAGAACUGAUUAACCACUGCAAAAUGAAGCGGGGAAAAUAAAAGUUGAAAUCAAAAGAGAACAUGGAAAGUGUUUGGAUAGUCGUGGUAACCGAGUUUUCAGAGUGACGCAGUUCAGUGCCCUCCUCAUCGAUCCAGGACUCAACUCGCACAAAAUCAGCCACAAACGAUGGUAUCGAGCAUUUCAAUACCGCAGCAUUCCCUUUGAUCACAUACUCCAUUAAAAUAUCCGCGCCAUAAAACUGAUUCACAACUGUACAGAAACAACAAGCAAACAAAUGAAGCUAUAGCAUUUUGGGAAAGGAAUUGGGAUGAUUAUGAGGGAAACCACUAUUUAUCAAUAACAAAUACAAUCUAGUUAGGAGAACUACCAAAAUCAUCUUGUGGCAUAUAUUCCGUGCCAUCACUGGCUACCCAGGCUUCGACUCGCAGAAAGUCGGCGACAAAACUUGGUAUUGUGCACUUAAGUACCGCCGUAUUGCCCUUGAUCACAUACUCGGAAACAACCUCAGCCUCAUAGUACUGGUUGACGACUGCAAGAUGUUUGAGGGAAAAGCAAAUAAUCAACGAAAUGAACUAGCGAAAAACCUAUCGUAAAAUACACGCGCUGUAAAAGUAAAUAAAUGAAAAUGUAAAAUGUA